rfam:Schistosoma rodhaini strain Burundi genome assembly, scaffold: SROB_scaffold0000072
CUCCGGCUGACGAGUCACAAAUAGAACGAAACGCGCAUCCUGGAU